rnacentral:rRNA from 1 species
GAACGGCAGCACGGACUUGGUCUGGUGGCGAGUGGCGAACGGGUGGAGUAAUGUAUCGGAACGUGCCUAGUAGCGGGGGAUAACUACGCGAAAGCGUAGCUAAUACGCCGCAUACGCCCUUCGGGGGAAAGUGGGGACCUUCGGGCCUCGUGCACUAUUAGAGCGGCUGAUAUCGGAUUAGCUAGUUGGUGGGGUAACGGCUCACUAAGGCGACGUAAGAUCCGUAGCUGGUUUGAGUAUAAUGACCAGCCACACUGGGACUGAGACACGGCCCAGACUCCUACGGGAGGCAGCAGUGGGGGGAAUUUUGACAAUGGGGAAACCCUGAUCCAGCCAUCCCGCGUGUGUGCGAUGAAGGCCUUCGGGUUGUAAAAGCACCCUUGGCAGGAAAGAAACGGCACGGAUAAUACCCCGUGCAACUGACGGUACCUGCAGAAUAAGCACCGCUAACCAUGUGCCAGCAGCCGCGGUAAUACGGAGGUGCAGUGUUAAUCUGGAAUUACUGGGCGUAAAGCGUGCGCAGGUUAUUCGAAUGGAAAGAAAGAUGUGAAAUCCCAGAGCUUAACUUUGAACUGCAUUUUUAACUACCGAGCUAGAGUGUGUCAGAGGAGGUGGAAUUCCGCGUGUAGCAGGAAAUGCGUAGAUAUGUGGAGGAACACUGAUGGCGAAGGCAGCCUCCCCUUGGGAUAACACUGACGCUCAUACACGAAAGCGUGGGGAGCAAACAGAUUAGGGAGUUAUACUCUGGUAGUCCAGCGCCUAAACGAUGUCAACUAGCUGGCUGUUAGCCUUCGGGCCUGUAGCGCAGCUAACGUGAAGCUGACCGCCUGGGGAGCAUGGUCGCAAGAUUAAUCAAAGGAAUUGACGGGGACCCGCACAAGGCGGUGGAUGAUGUGGAUUAAUUCGAUGCAACGCGAAAACCUUACCUACCCUUGAUACGUCUGGAAUCCCGAAGAGAUUUGGAUGCUGCAAGAGAACCGGAACACAGGUGCUGCAUGGCUGUCGUCAGCUCGUGUCGUGAGAUGCUGGGUUAAGUCCCGCAACGAGUAACCUUUGUCAUUAGUUGCUGCACGAAAGGGCACUUAUCGAGACUGAAGCGGUGACAAACCGGAGGAAGGUGGGGAUGACAUCAAGUCCUCAUGGCCCUUAUGGGUAGGGCUUCACACGUCAUACAAUGGUCGGGACAGAGGGUCGCCAACCUGCGAGGGGAGCCAAUCCCAGAAACCCGAUCGUAGUCCGGAUCGCAGUCUGCAACUCGACUGCGUGAAGUCGGAAUUUGCUAGUAAUCAGGAUCAGCAGUGUCGCGGUGAAGGUUGUUCCCGGUCUUGUACAUGCCUGCCCGGCUCGACCAUGGGAGUGGGGUUUUACUCAGAAGUAGUUAGCCUAACCGUAAGGGAGGGCGAUUACCACGGUAGGAUUCAUGACUGGGGUGAAGUCAACAAGGUAG